rnacentral:rRNA from 1 species
GACGAACGCUGGCGGCGUGCCUAAUACAUGCAAGUAGAACGCUGAAGGAGGAGCUUGCUUCUCUGGAUGAGUUGCGAACGGGUGAGUAACGCGUAGGUAACCUGCCUGGUAGCGGGGGAUAACUAUUGGAAACGAUAGCUAAUACCGCAUAAUAGUAGAUGUUGCAUGACAUUUGCUUAAAAGGUGCAAUUGCAUCACUACCAGAUGGACCUGCGUUGUAUUAGCUAGUUGGUGAGGUAACGGCUCACCAAGGCAACGAUACAUAGCCGACCUGAGAGGGUGAUCGGCCACACUGGGACUGAGACACGGCCCAGACUCCUACGGGAGGCAGCAGUAGGGAAUCUUCGGCAAUGGACGGAAGGCUGACCGAGCAACGCCGCGUGAGUGAAGAAGGUUUUCGGAUCGUAAAGCUCUGUUGUAAGAGAAGAACGAGUGUGAGAGUGGAAAGUUCACACUGUGACGGUAUCUGACCAGAAAGGGACGGCUAACUACGUG